rnacentral:rRNA from 1 species
AGUGAACGCUGGCGGUAGGCCUAACACAUGCAAGUCGAACGGCAGCACAGUAAGAGCUUGCUCUUACGGGUGGCGAGUGGCGGACGGGUGAGGAAUACAUCGGAAUCUACUUUUUCGUGGGGGAUAACGUAGGGAAACUUACGCUAAUACCGCAUACGACCUACGGGUGAAAGCAGGGGAUCUUCGGACCUUGCGCGUUUGAAUGGGCCGAUGUCGGAUUAGCUAGUUGGCGGGGUAAAGGCCCACCAAGGCGACGAUCCGUAGCUGGUCUGAGAGGAUGAUCAGCCACACUGGAACUGAGACACGGUCCAGACUCCUACGGGAGGCAGCAGUGGGGAAUAUUGGACAAUGGGCGCAAGCCUGAUCCAGCCAUACCGCGUGGGUGAAGAAGGCCUUCGGGUUGUAAAGCCCUUUUGUUGGGAAAGAAAAGCAGCAGGUUAAUACCCCGCUGUUCUGACGGUACCCAGAGAAUAAGCACCGGCUAACUUCGU